GUGAUCAGGACUGAACACACAGGAAUCACCAUGGAGUUUGUGCUGAGCUGGGUUUUCCUUGCUGCUAUUUUAAAAGGUGUCCAGUGUGAGGUGCAGCUGGUGGAGUCUGGGGGAGGCUUGGUACAGCCUGGGGGGUCCCUUAGACUCUCCUGUGCAGCCUCUGGAUUCACUUUCAGUAACACCUGGAUGAGCUGGGUAUGCCAGGCUCCGGGGAAGGGGCUGGAGUGGGUUGGCUGUAUUAAAAGCAAAGCUAAUGGUGGGACAACAGACUACGCUGCCCCUGUGAAAGGCAGAUUCACCAUCUCAAGAGAUGAUUCAAAAAACACACUGUAUCUGCAAAUGAACAGCCUGAAAACCGAGGACAUGGCCGUGUAUUACUGUACCACAGACACAGUGAGGAGAGAUGAGCCCACCAGCCUCAGCACUGACCUCCAAGCCAAGCACGUCCCUGCCUCUGCUGUGGUCUCCAGUGCCAUGAACUCAGCCCCUGUCUUGGGCACCAGCCCAUCUUCCCCGACCUUCACCUUCACCCUCGGACGCCAUUACUCGGAGGACUGCGGCCGCAUCAAGGCUGGCCGCCGCUCCUCCUACCUGCUGGCCAUCACCAAGGAGCGCUCCAAGUCCUGCGAUGAUGGACUCAACACCUUCCGCGACGAGGGCCGGGUUCUGCGUUGA